UUUGUCAGUGCCUGAAAUAAGCAAACUUGACUGCUACCCAAACAUCUCACACCUGCGCACUGCAGAGCAUCACACACACCGUGCCAGCCUUCUGCACAAAUGAGACCCCAGGGCCAGCCAAAUUCAUCACACUGCUCUUAAGAGUCUCUAUCCCAUCAAGGGGCUUCCGUAGCCUAGACAGCUCAUAGCAAGAGUCUCGGGUGAUUGCUGACAUCAUAAAUAAGAGUGCCAAUUGUUAAAUCAACAACGGGAGUCACUGGGUACAUGCUCCCCACGUAGGAUCUCUGUCCUUAAUGUGUUCUACUAUGAAACUCAAAAACAACACUACUAUUCGAACAAUACCCUAUACCUUGUACGGUUGUGUGAGUGCAGCCUGUUGAAAUCCUUGCUUAGUAUAUACUAAGUUGAUCUUCAGUAUAUGAAGCAGGUGCAGGCAGAAGACGGGAGGUGACAGCGAAUGAGAGCAUCCUUCCACAAUGACAGGGAUAAGGACCACAGGGACCAGAUACACUCAAGCGAAUGACCCACAUCAUUUCCUCAUCUGCUCUCAGCAUAAACGCCACAUGUCAACAAGGCUUCUGAAAUUCCACCCAGGAGCUUCAUCCAGACAAAAUAACCAGGAGCCGAGACGAUGCAACUCAAAGGGGCCAAGAAAACGCCAGCGCUAAAAUCCUAAACUCUGAGAUUUGAAAAAUACAUUAUGAAGUUCAAGUUUCAACUUAAUUGUAAAUACACAGAAAGGUUUGUGGGGAAAACAAAAAGUUGCCUUGAGG